rnacentral:rRNA from 1 species
GUGACCUACGGGACGCAGCAGUGGGGAAUAUUGGGCAAUGGAGGAAACUCUUACCCAGCAAUGCCGCGUGAAUGAAGAAGGUCUUCGGAUUGUAAAGUUCUUUAAUUGGGGACGAAAAAAAUGACGGUACCCAAGGAAUAAGCCCCGGCUAACUACGUGCCAGCAGCCGCGGUAAUACGUAGGGGGCAAGCGUUAUCCGGAUUUACUGGGUGUAAAGGGGGCGCAGACGGCGAUGCAAGCCAGGAGUGAAAGCCCG